ACUGAACGCUGGCGGCAUGCCUUACACAUGCAAGUCGAACGGCAGCACGGGAGCAAUCCUGGUGGCGAGUGGCGAACGGGUGAGUAAUACAUCGGAAUGUGCCCUGUAGUGGGGGAUAACUAGUCGAAAGACUAGCUAAUACCGCAUACGACCUGAGGGUGAAAGUGGGGGACCGCAAGGCCUCAUGCUAUAGGAGCGGCCGAUGUCUGAUUAGCUAGUUGGUGGGGUAAAGGCCUACCAAGGCGACGAUCAGUAGCUGGCCUGAGAGGACGAUCAGCCACACUGGGACUGAGACACGGCCCAGACUCCUACGGGAGGCAGCAGUGGGGAAUUUUGGACAAUGGGGGCAACCCUGAUCCAGCAAUGCCGCGUGUGUGAAGAAGGCCUUCGGGUUGUAAAGCACUUUUGUCCGGAAAGAAAUCGCUUCGGUUAAUACCUGGAGUGGAUGACGGUACCGGAAGAAUAAGGACCGGCUAACUACGUGCCAGCAGCCGCCGUAAUAC
rnacentral:rRNA from 1 species